UAAAAGGUGAACAAGCUUUUCAAGUGUACGUAGAGGGAGACAACUUGUUUUGUUUGCCAUGUUUACUUAGUGAAUGAUAUAACUGCAAACAGCAUGGCAGGCAGUCACGUAGGAGAACACAAAGCAGGAAAGCAACAUAGCAGACAGAAGCAAAGAUUGAACUAGAAAAGAUGUCAUGUCAUGGCGAUAUUACUUGACGGCUGAUGAUGACUAAUGUAGCUACGGUUGGGCAGCUUCAUGAGCCAUCUGUUGCUGCUUAUAAUGGAGGAACAGAGACUGGGUGUCUGUGAACUAAGUGUUGAAGACAAUAUCUGAACCCAACAGAAAGGAAGCAACAGGAAAAUAUAAAUUAUUAUAUUAUAAGCAAGCUUCAUUAUUUGUUCAAAGAAUUUAUCACUAAAAUACUUUGUGCAUUUCUUGUUCUUCCAAAGUAAGCUGUGAUAGAAAAAAAUUAUCUUGCAAUUUUUGGUAAUAUUUUUUUACAAGCUGACAUAACCUCAAAUCCUACAAAGCUGAAAUAGGUAUUAUAAAUGCAAGUCAGUAAAACUGUCAUAUUUCUAGUGAUAUGUAACUGCACAUUCUAUUUGGCUUCAUCCAUAUAGUUAAAUGAAGGCCAACACAGUUCACCCUUUAACUGAAACCAGAAUAACAAGAUGGGCAACAAAAUGAAAAGAUCAAAGUUCUACUGAAUGGUAUGUGAAGGUUAACUACAGAAACAACAUCCUAUUCAAAACCAGUACUGCCUCAAGGAAUGGUAUAAUCAUACUGGACACCUGCAAUUUACUUUUAGUUUAAACACUGACAUUAACUGUUUCAUGCAAUUGUCAAACGGGAAAAAUUCUUCCUCCUAAGAUGUUUCCACUUUAUGUGGGUCACCUGACAACCAAGCCUCUCCUUCUUCCUCUGCCUUCAGACAGCCUCUCCUCCACAUCAAUUUCUACCUAUGUUGCUCUUUCUUUCCACAUGACAUUUCUUGUAAGGCCACAGUUUCAAUAAUUGGUAACAGUUCUCGCAGUGCCUUUUGAUAUUCUUGUUUCUUGUGCAAGGCAUUCAAAGAGACUUAUGAUGUGCAUUCAAGAUGAGCUCUGACAUCACCCAACUUUUAUUUUGUUAAUAUUUGAUAAUGAUAUGUUUGGUUUUCUGUCUAUUAACCUACUAGUUAUUCUUGUUUUCCAACGUGCUUCUGAAUAAUGCUUCUAUUAGGAACCUGAACACUGACAAACUUUCUUCUGACUCUUCCUAGCAGAAAUAAACUUCAAAAGAUUCAUAUGAAAACAACUGCUGCUAAAGUGUAAACCUAAUCACAUCCUACACAAAGGAAUUCUUAAACAAGACUGUCUGACUCGAUAGAGUAAACAUCACUCACUGUCCUAGCUGACCAAGUAAAAAAUGUAGCAGCCAUGCAGUGAAUGAGCAGAAAGCCCACGCUCAGGCAUUACAUACAAAUAUUCUCCUUGUAGUUGUAAUCCUUAAACAAUAGAUUACAUUCUCAGACUACAGAACUUGAACUUUUUGCAAUGGUUUGAAUUUGAUUACAGUCUUCUGGGUUAUUGGGUCAUGUAGUUUGUGGCCGUAUAUAAACAUUUUGGUGGAACAUGCUUCUCCAUGUUCUGGAUUGAACUAUACAUAGCAACAACCCAAAAGACUGCAAUCUCAAUUCUUAAAAUUUCUGAUCUUAAGUUUGAUCUUCUAAUGGCUACAAAGUGCUGGUAUCUGUAAAACAACUACUUGAUAUUGUAAAACCAAUUUGUAAUUCACUGUGCUAAUUUCUUACAAAUACCUGUAUAGGCAUCUGAAGUUAAAAAAUGUAUAGGAAAAUAAAUUUUUGCUUUCUAAAUAUUAA